UAUGUGAUCGUCUCUCGCAUAUCAAUAAGCGGAGGAAAAGAAACUAACAAGGAUUCCCCUAGUAACGGCGAGUGAAGCGGGAAGAGCUCAAAUUUGAAAUCUUAAAGGGUUUCCCUUUACGAAUUGUAGUUUAAAGAAGUGUUUUCUAGUUGAGGUUUUGGUAAAAGCUCUUUGGAAUAGGACAUCAUAGAGGGUGAGAAUCCCGUAUUUGACCUUUACCUUUCAACUUUGUGAUACACUUUCAAAGAGUCGGAUUGUUUGGGAAUGCAGUCCAAAAUGGGUGGUAAAUUUCAUCUAAAGCUAAAUAUUGGCGAGAGACCGAUAGCGAACAAGUACCGUGAGGGAAAGAUGAAAAGAACUUUGAAAAGAGAGUUAAACAGUACGUGAAAUUGUCAAAAGGGAAGCGUUUGACACCAGUGUUGUUUUUCUGAAGAUCAAUUAAAGAACUGUUUAUGCUAAGUUGUUUAGACUUUAUCAGCUAUCUGUUUAGUUUUGAGCUUUUCUUUAAUGCACUUUUCAGUUAACAAGUCAACAUCAAUUUCUUUUGCUGUAAAAAAGCUUGAGGAAGGUGGCUUGAGAUUCGUCUUAAGUGUUUAUAGCCUCUUGCCUAUGCAGUCGGAGAGAUUGAGGUCUGCAGCGUAGGUCCUUCGGGGCUAAAUGCAUUUGUGCUAAGUUAUAGCAUUUUAUAGACAACUUGUUGACUAUGAUUUGUCUUGUAGCUUACUCGCUUAUGUUAUUUUACCUACGCUUAGGAUGUUGAUCUACAGAGCGAGAGU
rnacentral:rRNA from 1 species